AAUAGCAGCCAUAUCACUCUGCAACUCACAGCUGGCAGCUCCACUGAAGUUAAGCAGGUUUGAGUCUGGCCAGUCCCUAGAUGAGAGACCUCCUGGGAAAAACUAAGGCUGCUACUA
rnacentral:rRNA from 1 species